AUGUUCCCAGGCACGUCCCCAAACAUGCCCCUCCCAUCCUCGAGUCCACGGAUCACCCAGCAGUGUAAUGUCUUCGAAGAGAAAGUAAUUCUUCAGUGCCCGAUGAUGCAGCAAUUCCGCUUCUGGUGCGCCCUGCCCCGCCCUCAAAAUGCAGAGCAAGCCCGAAACUCCUGGAGCUCCUCCUGCCUCUGCCUCCCAAGUGCUGGGACCACAGCAUGUUGCCUUGGCAUCUGCAUGAACUUGGGGAUGACUUUUCUUUUUCUGAAAAAGUCACUGGGACUUCAGUGGGACAGCAGGUUCUCAGGUCAGUCCAGGAGCUACUCCCAGUGCUUCUGGGUGUGUUCAAAUCCCCCCACCCCCGUGUCCCGUGUGUGUGUGUGUGUGUGUGUGUGUGUGUGUGUGUGUGUACUCAAUGUCACCCCUUCAUGGUUUCAUCCUGUAGCCCAGGCUAGCCCUAACUUGUGGCAAGCCUCCUGUCUGAUACACUUUAACGUCCGAUCACCCCCAUUCCUUUCCUGUUGAGAGUGUGAUGUCGUGUCAUGUGACACGGGCCCAUGCAUUUUUCUCACUGUCUCCAUCUUACAAACAAGGAAACUGAGGUCCAGAGAGAAUCCUGACACACAGCUGAGAAAGGUAGGAUCAGGACUCACCUCAAACUCUCCACAGCAUGGUUUCUAGGGCCCUGACCCAGGGCUCUCCCGGUAGUGUGUGACCGUUGGAGAAUGGAUGGAUGCCAUUAUGGUAAAGGAACACUCUAAAAUAGGCUGUCGUGCUCUGUAAACUAGACUAUGAUGCUGGCCUUAGCCUGUUCCACUCUGGAUCACAGAGUGGUGAACGCACACAUGGGCGUGUCAAGAGACUGCUGUUUUUCUUCUCAUAUACCGAAAUGUAAAUACACUUUGGAUCAUACAAUGGAAAUUUCCAGUUGCACAGGAGAAAGAGGCGGUGUCCCUGAAAGCAAAAGUGCACCAUUGCUGGGGGUUGGGGAUUUAGCUCAGCGGUAGAACGCUUGCCUAGCGAGCGCAAGGCCCUGGGUUCGGUCCCCAGCUCUGGAAAAAAAAAAAAAAGAAAAAAGAAAAAAAAGUGCACCAUUGCACCCCGGAUAGAUUUGUCUUCUGAAAAGGACAGGGGCAGAGACUCCGCCCCUCUCUGCUGCAGCCUAAUGCAGCCUAGUGGGGAGCAAAGCCCACGGUCAGAAAUCCAUAGCCAGUGAACGCAGUUCUCAGGCGGCAGGUCCCACUAGCUUGCUGUGUGUCCUUGGCUAACCUCGUGCCCUCUCUCGAUCUACUUUGCUUAGCUGUCAACCAAUUUGUGCAACUUACUGAAAUCAAUACAAGCAACUUAACCGUUACUUCCACUCUUUGAGAUUCUGUUUAUAGCCUGCGAACAAAGGUGCAAAGACACAGCUGCGGCUUUGCUUGAGGCGCAGAAUCUUGCAAACUGCCUGAAAGGGAAAGCCCCCCUCCCCUCCCUCCCCCAAACACACACACCACAAACACAAGGCAUUAUUGGCGUUGAUUCUGUGGUUUGGCCGUGGCCAGGGAUUCCUGGCGACACCUGCUGGUGGAUGUCAGUACUGCAGCCUAUGUAGCUGGGUCAUGUUUUUCACAUACAAUUUUGGUUCCUUAGGGACUACUGAAGAAAGAGCCAAGGUGAGGAGGCCGCCGGGGAGUGGACGUUAAAACCUCCAAUCAGAUCGAAUUCCGGUCUCUGCGCCGGGCGCUCAUGGGCGGACCUGUCAUUGCCUACAUCUUUUUAGGAACCUGGGUUCCUGAGACCUAUCUCUGUUCAGGGCUGCAAGAAAGUAUUCAAUCAUUUGAUACUUUAGUGUGUGCAAUAACCAGCACCUAGGACUGGAGGGUCUCACCGAGGUUCUUAGGAUACCGACCUGGUACCAGCUUCCUAGAGAAUAAACUAGUGAGGGUGCCCAGAACCCUGGAUGUGGGUGACAACGACUUGUCAACCAGAUACAUCUAGAAUCAUCUGAGAAGGGAGGGCCUCUGAGAAUGUUUGUGAGGGAUGUCUUGGUUGAAUGAUUGACAUUAAAGACCCGCCCACUGUGGGUGGCACCAUUCCCUGGGCUUGGAGACCCUGGACUGUGUAAAUGUAGAGAGAGGGCCCAGGGCUAGCUAGCACAGACACAUUCAUCCAUUGCUCUCUGCUGAGUGUGGAUGUGAUGUCCAGAUGCUUCAAGCUCUCAUUCUCCCGUGACUUCCCCAAGUAAUGGACUGGAACCUGGAAUUGUACGGUGCAUAAACCCCUUCUUCCUUAAACUGCUUUGGUCAGGAUAUUGAGUUUGACUCCCUGGUAGGCAACCAGAUAGGGAGAGGGGCCACAGCUAGAAAAUAAAGUGAGUUUCCAAGAUAGUCAGCCUCGUUCUCAAUGUCCUGACUUCCCUCCCACCAGCAGGUUCCAUGCUGAUGAACUGGUUUAAAGGACCUGGUCAGGAAUGCAGCACUGUUCCCAGCCAGCCAACCUUCCGAGCUUCCUUGAAACUGACGGCUUCAAGUAGAGGAGGAAAACUUUACGGAGGCUAAAACGUUUGUCCCAGGCCUUGGGAGGAACUGGGUUUGGACUCUUUCAAUCCUGGCUUGGCUGUGGGGUCUUUUUCUCUGAGUGUCUGCCUUGUGCUUGCUUCCUUACCCCCAAUAAAAGCUGUCCCUCACCCGC